rnacentral:lncRNA from 1 species
GAAUCACUGAUUAGACACUCCUUCGUGCCAGGUUGUAGACAGUAGGCAUGGUGCUCCUUUAGGUAUCAAUACAUAGAUGUGGUUUAUAUUUUUCAGAUUUAAAUUCAUGCCAGAAAGAGCCCCCUAUGAAGGAGGGAGUUGUUUCAACUGCAGAUGGAACUGGCAGGGGCAAGAGAGAAAGAGCAGGAAUGGUAUUUUCUUGUUCAAAGAGUCCUUUGAAAGGCCGCACUGAACCCCGGGGACCAUGGGGUGGCAGGUGCCUGGGAGGCUCACGGGCUUAGCCCUCCUCCCCCUGAGCCUGGGAGGUGGGGUUUGCCCCCCACGCCCUGCCCUUCCUCCCAGGGCUGCCAGCUCUUCGUGUGGCCUCUGAGUGUGUGCUCAGUGAAUCUUCAGCAGCAGGAAAGGCACAUCUCAGAGGUAGGUGGGAGGGUGUGACCCCAGCUUUGAAAAAAUAACAUCACUCUACACACACCCAUGCACGGAGACAGACACACCUAAAUGUCACUCCCAUUACUGGCAGAGGAAGCUGGGAUUUCAGGUGACUCUUCAUUCAUUUAUCUUAUAUGUUUUAUACAUUUUCUCAUUUUUCUAUCUUGAGCAAGAAACAAAAGUCAUUCAAAAAGUAGGAAAGUAGACACUUGGGAGAAAGUACGCUGAUGUCCAAAUUGCCAGAAACCGCACUGGAUCACGCGGGCAGCCCGGCGAUCUGGGGAGGGCUCCCCUGGGGCUGAGCUUCAGGAGAGGGCACAGGGCGCGACAUGGAGUUCCGGGAAUGCGCAGGCUGCCGCCCUCCUCUGCCAGCUCUCGGGAGCGUGGAGAUGGGGUGGUGGGGCGGCUGGGAGUGAACCCCGAACGUCUCUCCGUCCCUGCACCUAUGUCUGGACCGGAACCAUGCGGCCUCCCGCACCUGGGGCGGUGCGCCGCGGGAGCCAGGGACAGGCGACAGGUCCGCCUGUGGGGGCCUUUCCAGACUGGUGCCCGGUGGCUAAAGGCGACCGGGUCGGAGUGACCACGAGCCCUUGACCACACCUGUAGGACACGUGGGCAGGCCGGGGUUGCGUGUGGCUUCUCGGGAGGAAGAUCGGCGAGAUGUCGCUUGGGCGUUUCCGGGAGCCUUUAGUGGCCCUGGUUCUCGGGAACUGGACGUAAAACAAAAGAGCCAAAGGCAACGCGACCCGCGCGGCGGGCCCCGGCGGCUGGCAGUGUCCUCGCAGUCCUUUUUGCAGAUGCCACGUGAGGCUGGGCCCCGGAUUGCC